rnacentral:rRNA from 1 species
AGAGUUUGAUCCUGGCUCAGGAUGAACGCUAGCGGCAGGCUUAACACGGGCAAGUCGAGGGGCAUCGGGGUAGCAAUACUGCCGGCGACCGGCGCACGGGUGCGUAACGCGUAUACAAUCUACCUGUAACUUAGGGAUAGCCUCGAGAAAUCGGGAUUAAUACCUAAUGACAUUGUAGCUUGGCAUCAAGCAGCAAUUAAAACUCCGGUGGUUACAGAUGAGUAUGCGUACCAUUAGCUAGUUGGUGAGGUAACUGCUCACCAAGGCUACGAUGGUUAGGGGUACUGAAAGGUAGGUCCCCCACACUGGUACUGAGACACGGACCAGACUCCUACGGGAGGCAGCAGUGAGGAAUAUUGGUCAAUGGGCGCAAGCCUGAACCAGCCAUGCCGCGUGAAGGAUGAAGGCUCUAGUAGUUGUAAACUUCUUUUAUACAGGAAUAACCCCUCUUACGUGUUAGGAGGCUGAAUGUACUGUAGGAAUAAGCAUCGGCUAACUCCGUGCCAGCAGCCGCGGUAAUACGGAGGAUGCAAGCGUUAUCCGGAUUUAUUAGGUUUAAAGGGUGUGUAGGCGGGAUAGCAAGUCAGCGGUGAAAGCCCAAAGCUCAACUUUGGAACUGCCGUAGAUACUGUUGUCCUUGAGUGUAGUUGAAGUGGGCGGAAUGUGUCAUGUAGCGGUGAAAUGCUUAGAUAUGACACAGAACACCGAUUGCGAAGGCAGCUCACUAAACUAUAACUGACGCUGAGGCACGAAAGCGUGGGGAGCAAACAGGAUUAGAUACCCUGGUAGUCCACGCCGUAAACGAUGAUCACUCGAUGCGUGCGAUAUACAGUACGUGUCUAAGCGAAAGCAUUAAGUGAUCCACCUGGGGAGUACGACCGCAAGGUUGAAACUCAAAGGAAUUGACGGGGGCCCGCACAAGCGGAGGAACAUGUGGUUUAAUUCGAUGAUACGCGAGGAACCUUACCUGGACUUAAAUGGGAAAUGCCCGAUUCAGAAAUGGAUUUUUUCGCAAGAACAUUUUUCAAGGUGCUGCAUGGCUGUCGUCAGCUCGUGCCGUGAGGUGUCGGGUUAAGUCCCAUAACGAGCGCAACCCUUAUCAUUAGUUGCCAGCGGGUAGAGCCGGGGACUCUAGUGAGACUGCCACCGUAAGGUGAGAGGAAGGUGGGGAUGACGUCAAGUCAGCACGGCCCUUACGUCCAGGGCUACACACGUGUUACAAUGGCCAGUACAAAGGGCAGCUACCGGGCAACCGGAUGCUAAUCUCUAAAGCUGGUCUCAGUUCGGAUCGGAGUCUGCAACUCGACUCCGUGAAGCUGGAUUCGCUAGUAAUCGCGCAUCAGCCAUGGCGCGGUGAAUACGUUCCCGGGCCUUGUACACACCGCCCGUCAAGCCAUGGGAGUUGGGGGUACCUAAAGUACGUGACCGCAAGGAGCGUCCUAGGGUAAAACCAAUGACUGGGGCUAAGUCGAAACAAGGUA